rnacentral:lncRNA from 1 species
GUUCGUUUUGAAGCAUGUUCUGUCAACUGCGGGACCUUAUAUAGACAGAUGUGUUCCUUCUCCCGAGUGGUGCAGUGGUCUAAGGCACUGUAUCUCAGUGCAAGAGAAGUCACUACAGUACCUGGUUCAAAUCCAGACUGCGUCACAUCCGGCUGUGAUUGGGAGUCCCAUAAGGCGGUGCACAAUUGGCCCAGCGUCGCCAGGGUGGACUCCAAUCAAGUUGUAGAAACAUCUCAAGGAUGAUUGAUGGAAACAGGAUUACCUGGGCUCAAUUUCAAGUCUCAUAGCAAGGGGUCUGAGUACUUACGUAAAUAAGGAUGACAGUGUGGAGUGUGGAUGAGACCAUGGUUAAAAUCACAGAGGCUGUGUAAGAAUGAGCUGGAGGCGUUAUUUGUUCCAUGCUCAGAAGCUCUGCAGAAACCUGUACUGCGCAAACACAGUCGCGAGUGGCC